UACGUAGGGGGCAAGCGUUGUCCGGAUUUAUUGGGCGUAAAGAGCGUGUAGGCGGCCUUACAGGUCAGCUGUGAAAACUCGAGGCUCAACCUCGAGACGUCGGUUGAAACCGUAUGGCUAGAGUCCGGAAGAGGAGAGUGGAAUUCCUGGUGUAGCGGUGAAAUGCGCAGAUAUCGGGAAGAACACCCGUGGCGAAGGCGGCACUCUGGGACGGUACUGACGCUGAGACGCGAAAGCGUGGGGAGCGAACAGG
rnacentral:rRNA from 1 species